UACAGAGUGACAGCCCAUUCUACUGAACAAACCCCUCCACUCUGGCAAUGAGUGGUCUUCAGCAUCAAGCCACUAUCUCUACACCUGGCAUGAGAUCUCUGCCCACCUGUCCACCAGCCGUACCAGGCCUGGAUGGCCCCAGUGUGGACCCACCAGACCACACAAGCGCUCUUGAAAAUUGUACUUGUAUCCUCAGGUGGCAAAAUCCCAAGGUAAACUUAUUGAGCUCGGCAGCCAUCACCACAAUGUAAUAUUAGAAUGUUACCAUCAUAUAGAUGAGUCUCUCCUGCCUUUUAGUGUUUAUUCUCCAUUCCCAUCCCCAUCCUUGGAGUCUGGCAGCCAUUAAACUGUCUAUGUGCACUUGCCUUUU